rnacentral:tRNA from 1 species
GCCUCCGUGGUGGAACGGCAGACACGACGGACUUAAAAUCCGUUUCCUUAGGGAGUAUGGGUUCGAAUCCCAUCGGAGGUA